AUGGUGACAUAGGUAGAUCCCACUUCUGUACUUCUCAUAAUAAGCUCAACUAGCAACUAUACACAUAAGACAUCACUGGGCAAUUCUCAGGACUCAGGGGUGAUGCUGAACACCCCCUGGACUACAAAGAUCAAUAGGGACAGCAUCAGAAGGUUAAGUGGAGUCGUUUCCCUAUGACCACAGUACACUUCUCCAUGGGCCAGCACAGUGCCCCACCGUGGGGGACCACCUAGAACUAGGGUUCUUCUCCCAAGAAGAAAAGAGCCCAGAGUAGGUCAAUGACACCGUGGGCAUUGUGCCUUGGGGAGGAUGGCUUUUCCUGAAUGAGUCAUUAUCCUUCAGUGGAACCACUUUAAAAUUAUCCAAAAGCCUUCUUCAUCAUCAACAUCGACUCUGCCAGAUGACACCUUAAACCUAUGCCCAAAAUGUUUAAUCAUCCGUAUCCUCUCUCCACCCACUCCCACAUCUGCACCUGGAAAGAAGCUACUUAAGACAUUGCAGUGACCAAAGAGAGCUCCCGACCAGAACUUCCCCACCUUUCAAGAGUUGUCCAGGAUCACCUGGUUGGUAUGGUCGUCUGGGCAUCUGCCUUGAUCCCAGAAUCAUGGGAUCGAGCCCCACACUGAGCUCCCCACUCAUUGAGGAGUCUGCUUCUCCUUCUCCCUCUGCCCCUCCCCCGACUCCUGCAAGCUCUUGCAUGCUCUCUCUGUGUCCCUUUCUCAUAUAAAUGAAAUCCCUUGGGAA